rnacentral:lncRNA from 1 species
GCGGGACCCAGGGAAGGCAGCGGCCGGAGCGCGCAAGAAUUAGCUAGGCGUGGUGGCAGGUGCCUGUAAUCCCAGCUACUCAGGAGGCUGAGGCAGGAGAAUCGCUUGAACCUGGGAGGCAGAGGUUGCCGUGAGCUGAGAUCGCGCCAUUGCACUCCAGCCUGGGCGACAAGAGCAAAACUCCGUCUCAGAAAAAAAAAAAAAAAAGAGUUGAUGUGUUGAAAGACAGAGAAGCGAAGACAGAGACGUGGAAAGACAGGGAGAGAGACACGGAGAGAGACGCAGAAGGACAGAGACGUGGAGAGAGACGCAGAGAGACAGAGACGUGGAGAGACACAGAGAGACGUGGAGAGACACAGAGAGACUUGGAGAGAGACAAAGCAAGACAGGACGGGAGAACAAGGACAAGCUCAGGUAAGCCUCAGCCGGUGCUGCAGGCAGUCUGACUCGCA